rnacentral:rRNA from 1 species
GUGGCGAACGGGUGAGUARCACGUAACCAAUCUGCCCUUCAGUGGAGGAAAACUCAGGGAAACUUGGGCUAAUCCUCCAUACGGUGAUUUGAUCGCAUGAUCGGAUUAUCAAAGAUUUACUCGCUGAAGGAGGAGGUUGCGACUGAUUAGCUUGUUGGCGGGGUAACGGCCCACCAAGGCGACGAUCAGUAGCUGGUCUGAGAGGAUGAUCAGCCACACUGGGACUGAGAUACGGCCCAGACUCCUACGGGAGGCAGCAGUGAGGAAUAUUGCGCAAUGGGCGAAAGCCUGACGCAGCAACGCCGCGUGUAGGAUGAAAUCUUUCGGGAUGUAAACUACUGUUAGAGRGGAAGAAAGUCUCGACUUGUCGAGACCUGACGGUACCCUCAGAGAAAGCCCCGGCUAACUCUGUGCCAGCAGCCGCGGUAAUACAGGGGGGGCAAGCGUUGUCCGGAAUUACUGGGUGUAAAGGGUCCGUAGGCGGGCCGGUAAGUCAGUGGUUAAAUCCUGCAGCUUAACUGUAGACCAUCCAUUGAUACUGCCGGUCUUGAGUGCGAGAGAGAUGAGUGGAAUUCCAAGUGUAGCGGUGAAAUGCGUAGAGAUUUGG